rnacentral:tmRNA from 1 species
GGGGAUGUUUGGUUUCGACAGGAAUGUGUUUAAUAGUAGUUGCAGUCGUUGUAUACGUACCUACAUUAAAAUAACUGGAAAAAAUUUCUUAACAAACAUUUUUGGUUCUUACCAAAAUGUUUCUUACGCUGCUUAAUAAUCUAAAUACUGAUUCGCAGCCAGAUUUAUUUGCUUGUUUUGGGUAAAUACUUCUGCUCAUCCACAAAACUAGAAAUAUUUAGUGUUAUAAUAAAUAUUUUGAAUCAACUAUAACAAACCUUAUAUAUUCGUGUUUAUGCAAUAUAUAUUGUAGCAACAUAAACUAAACUGUAGACGCUACUAUACGGGGCCGUUUUUGGACAGGGGUUCGAGCCCCCUCAUCUCCACCA